UCCAAUGACAUUAAGUAUUCCAAUUAUUGUUGUUCAGAAGCCACUAUCUCCGUAACAACUCACUAACGAAGCAAUUUUUUUCUUUGUUUCCUCCUUUUCAUUCUUUCGUCAUUUCUACGAGACACAAUCUGCUCUAGAAGAUAACUAUACUCUAACCUUAAUUUUUAAAACACACUUUGCCCAUGCCAGCCCAGGGACAAGAUUUCACCUCUCGGUCUUCACUAGUGUUAUACAGCCUACAUCGGAGAGGAGGCACACCUUACUUAUGAACUGGCCUAUGAUGGAUACACAACAAGAAAGGAGGAGCUUAUUUGUCAACUUAUUGAGAGGAGGAACCAUGCCUGGCCGGAAGAUGUACAGUUCAUCCAAGUUCUUGUCAGCUUCAGAACACUCCUCGCCACCAUCAUCGCCGGCCUCCCCAAGGUGCAGAGACUGGAUCACCGACGUCUGGGUGCAGGGGUGAACGUGAGAUUACUGAGCACAAAAUAAUGUUUGUAUAUCUGUCACUGAAGGCUCUUCUGUAACUUACAUGAUAAAAAUAAAUUUUC